GAUGAAGAACGUAGCUAAAUGCGAUACUUGGUGUGAAUUGCAGAAUCCCGUGAACCAUCGAGUCUUUGAACGCAAGUUGCGCCCGAAGCCAUUAGGCCGAGGGCACGCCUGCCUGGGCGUCACACGUCGUUGCCCCCCCAUCUACUCCUUCGGGAUUGCGGGGGGCGGAUGAUGGCCUCCCGUGCGCCUCGUCGCGCGGUUGGCAUAAAUGCCAAGUCCUCGGCGACGCACGCCACGACAAUCGGUGGUUGCGAAACCUCGGUUGCCCGUCGUGUGCGGUCGUCGCGCAUCGAGGGCUCGAAAAAAUUGCCGGGCUCCGGCUCGGCUUUCAACGCGACCCCAGGUCAGGCGGGGUUACCCGCUGAAUUUAAGCAUAUCAAUAAGCGGAGGA
rnacentral:misc_RNA from 1 species